rnacentral:rRNA from 1 species
AGAGUUUGAUCCUGGCUCAGGAUGAACGCUAGCUACAGGCUUAACACAUACAAGUCGAGGGGAAACGAUAUUGGAAGCUUGCUUCCGAUAGGCGUCGACCGGCGCACGGGUGAGUAACGCGUAUCCAACCUGCCCACCACUUGGGGAUAACCUUGCGAAAGUAAGACUAAUACCCAAUGAUAUCUCUAGAAGACAUCUGAAGGAGAUUAAGGAUUUAUCGGUGAUGGAUGGGGAUGCGUCUGAUUAGCUUGUUGGCGGGGUAACGGCCCACCAAGGCGACGAUCAGUAGGGGUUCUGAGAGGAAGGUCCCCCACAUUGGAACUGAGACACGGUCCAAACUCCUACGGGAGGCAGCA